UAGGAAACAUUGGCCACUACAGGAUCAGG
rnacentral:piRNA from 1 species